rnacentral:rRNA from 1 species
CUCAGUUCGGAUUGGAGUCUGCAACUCGACUCCAUGAAGCUGGAUUCGCUAGUAAUCGCGCAUCAGCCAUGGCGCGGUGAACACGUUCCCGGGCCUUGUACACACCGCCCGUCAAGCCAUGGGAGCCGGGGGUGCCUGAAGUACGUGACCGCGAGGAGCGUCCUAGGGCAAAACUGGUGACUGGGGCUAAGUCGUAACAAGGUACC